UUUAAAGAGUAAACCAAUCACUUAAUCGAAAUCCGCGUUUAGUUUAGAUUAUGCCAUGAACGAAAAUCACGGAAAUCAAGUGUAUGUUCUCGAGGGACUUAUAGUUUUUUUAAACGUAAAAAACGAACGCACAAAGUUAAAAUAACAGCACUUUGGUUCCAUUUAUUUUUAGAACGGCUUAAUCUACGGAAAAUUACUAUUUUAUUUGGAAUAAGCGUUUGAUUUUGGAAAAAGAAAACUCUGCUCUACCUCAACGCUUAUUUAAAUCUAUACAACACCAGGGGUUGCUGUGCUGGGCUUUUAAAACAGUAUAGAGGAUUAUUCCAUGAAUUUAGUUCACUCAAACAGCAUAUUUUAUCAACGAGUACAUACCUUCAUGGGAUAGCACACCUUUUGCAAGCCUACCAAACACACCUAGGUUUGCAUUGGAAUGAUGGGUCAAAAAACAUUUGAACUGUAGGUAGUGGCUAUCAUUGUUUGCUCUACGUCUACGUUCAUGGCAUACAAUUGCCGUUUAGAUAAAAUCUAUAUAGUAAAGGGUUUGCUCAAAAGCCACCCAAGUUCCUGCUUGUGAUGGUCUCGAACAACAGAUGCCCCUUACCCUUACACUACCUUGUGGGAUUUUGAAGGGUUGCAUUGGGUUACAAGGGACAAAGAACGUAACCGGCAGGUAAACAAGCAAGUGCUGCUGCAGGAACAAAUGUUUGUGUGAGGGUGCUCGUGACGAUCGACCCAAGGAUGGUCACUGUUGUAUACGUCAAGAAGUUCUGUAUAUUAAACUUGAAAGCUUUUUCUUCCCUCUGCUGCUUUGCCAUGUAUGUCACUAGGCUGUUGGAUUCGUCGUUGUUAUGGAGUGUCUCUUCUUUCGAUGAGGCCAUCUCUACUGGCGGAGUCUGGAUGAGAUCAUGUGGUAGAAUCGACAAAAAAGGCUCCAAGGAUUAAUUGGAAAUUGGCUCUCGUCUUUUUCGAGGGCGUGAUCGACUUCAGGGCUACGCUUUCGACGGCAAGGCACAGGUGGGUCGCUUGGAUCAAGAUUAGUAAUCUGAAUGCACGACACAAUACUAAUGGUUGUGCAUGUUGAAGUAACUUUAACGGUCAGGGUUUUCGACAGCAAAUUGGAGCCAUCGAGGUAAAAAAGACGGGCAUUUUGUUGUUGGUUGCCAGCGGACAAACCUUGAUAAAAGCCGAAAUUCUUUAUUCUUGGCUUGACGUUAGCCAUUUGAUUUUGGUUGGUCAUAUGUUGCUGAGCCAUAACAGGAAUUAUUUUUCCUAGUUUAUCGUCUUCAUUUUGAAAGCCUAACUUGGGACGGGAAUAACCUACUUUACUCGGACCAUCCGCGAAUAAGUUUUGACUGGCAAGCAAUUCUAUGAUUGACUCGUCUCCAUCAGCCUAAAAACGGUUUUGUGUCGGCUGAACUUCGAAAAUAUGUUUUCUUUACUUGCAAUUUACCUGUGAAUAAACGGCUGAGGGCGCGAUAGGUCUCACAUAAGGAAAGA